UUUGUACUCCCUCCUUCCGAAAAUACUUGUCAUCAAAAUGGAUAAAAAGAGAUGUAUCUAGAACUAAAAUACGUCUAGAUACAUCCCCUUUUAUCCAUUUUGAUAACAAGUAUUUCCGGACGGAGGGAGUAGUUU
rnacentral:pre_miRNA from 1 species